UACGUAGGGUGCAAGCGUUGUCCGGAAUUAUUGGGCGUAAAGAGCUCGUAGGCGGCUUGUCACGUCGGUUGUGAAAGCCCGGGGCUUAACCCCGGGUCUGCAGUCGAUACGGGCAGGCUAGAGUGUGGUAGGGGAGAUCGGAAUUCCUGGUGUAGCGGUGAAAUGCGCAGAUAUCAGGAGGAACACCGGUGGCGAAGGCGAAUCUCUGGGCCAUUACUGACGCUGAGGAGCGAAAGCGUGGGGAGCGAACAGG
rnacentral:rRNA from 1 species